rnacentral:rRNA from 1 species
GACAAACGCUGGCGGCGUACCUAAGACAUGCAAGUCGAACGGGCGCUCCUCUUUCGGGAGGGAUUGCGAGUGGCGGAUGGGUGAGUAACGCGUAGGAACCUGUCCUUUUGUGGGGAGUAACAGUGGGAAACCGCUGCUAAUACCGCAUGCGGUCAUCACGGGAGGACUGUGAUGAAGAAAGGACGGAAAGACCGCAGAAGGAGGGGCCGUGCGUCCGAUUAGCUAGUUGGUGGGGUAAAGGCGUACCAAGGCGACGAUCGGUAGCUGGUCUGAGAGGAUGGUCAGCCACACUGGGACUGAGAUACGGCCCAGACUCCUACGGGAGGCGANCAGUUAGGAAAUUUUCACAAUGGGGGAAACCCUGAUGGAGUAACGCC